rnacentral:rRNA from 1 species
GACGAACGCUGGCGGCGUGCUUAACACAUGCAAGUCGAGCGGAGCGGCGAACGGGCGAGUAACGCGUGAGUAACUGGCCCCCUCCCUGGGGUAACAGUUGGAAACGGCUGCUAAUACCGGAUAGUGGGGGAUGACUCGGGGCCUUUCAGCUUGUCGGUGGGGUAGUGGCAUACCAAGGCUACGACGGGUAGCCGGCCUGAGAGGGCGACCGGCCACCGUGGUCUGAGAUACGGACCAAACUCCAACGGUAGGCAGCAGUGGGGAAUAUUGCACAGUGGGGGAGACCCUGAUGCAGCAGCCCGCGGGCGGAAUGCCCGCCCUCGGGUUGUGAACCGCUUUCGGCCAUGACGCGGUAGUGGCAGAAGAAGCACCGGCUAACUACGUGCCAGCAGCCGCGGUAAUAC